ACUGAACCUUAUCAUUUAGAGGAAGGAGAAGUCGUAACAAGGUUUCCGUAGGUGAACCUGCGGAAGGAUCAUUGUCGAAACCUGCACAGCAGAGUCACCCGUGAACCAGUGAAAGCACAUGGGAGAGCCUGGGUGGCUUGCCCUUGGUCUCUCCUGGUCUAGGGGCUGCAUUCGGCGCAUUUCCCGUUGGAUGUUUGCUUCCUCGGACGCACAAACUAAAACUCCGGCGCAGGAUGCGCCAAGGACCUCAUAAUGGAAUUGCAUCUCCCAAUCGCUCUAGGGAUGGAGCGUGAGUGGGGGUUGCAUUGUUAGAUGUCUAAAACGACUCUCGGCAACGGAUAUCUUGGCUCUCGCAUCGAUGAAGAACGUAGCGAAAUGCGAUACUUGGUGUGAAUUGCAGAAUCCCGUGAACCAUCGAGUYUUUGAACGCAAGUUGCGCCCGAAGCCAUUAGGCCGAGGGCACGUCUGCCUGGGCGUCACACAAUGUUUGCUCCCCCACGACCUCGGUCUCGGAGGGGCGGAUGAUGGUCUCCCGUGGGGUAGCGGUUGGCCCAAAUGAGAGAGUCCAUGGCUGUUCGUGCCGACACAAUCGGUGGUGUUGAAAAACCCAGCGUCCCAUGUUGUUUCACGAACUGUCCGUGUGGUCCGACAGACCCGAUGCUGCAAUUGCGGCCUUUCCACUGCGACCCCAGGUCAGGCGGGGCCACCCGCUGAGUUUAAGC
rnacentral:rRNA from 1 species